rnacentral:lncRNA from 1 species
AAAGGAAGGAAAAGAAAGUCAGGGGAGGGGAGGGGAGGAGGGGAGGGAAAGCCUCUUUUCUCCGGCUGCCAAAGGCGCCAACUGCCCUCUUCCAAGCAACUUCUCUCUCACCGUCCAGAGUCCGCUUUCCCCAGCCACGCAACAGCACCCGCAGCAGCAGCAGCAACUCCCUUCGCCGAACAGGAAACCUUCCUUCUCCCGCGCCGAGCGGUUCUGAGCUGAGCUUCGUGGGCAAACAGGAAGCCUCGUCGGAUGAUGCUCUUGAGAGUUUAUGUGUGGAAGGAAGGAAGGAAGGAAAGAAGGAAGGAAGGAAGGAAAGGAGGAAGACUGUAUUUUAAAAUAUCAGAGCUCACUGACAAGCAGAAAACAAAUCUGUUUAUCAGUAGAAUCCACAGCUGUUGCUAGUGAGAUCUAGCCAGAAAUGACUGUUUACUGAGUAAGCUCAUCUCAUUGAAUGAAGAGGAUUUCUUGAGAAUUUGCUUCACCUGGAGUAGUGUCAAAAAUUCUACAUCUUUUUCAAAUGUCAGGCAUAUACUUGGUUUUCCAGAGCCUUAGCAAAUUUUAAAUGCCUCUCUACGCCAGCAUCAUCUCAAGAAUCUUUCUAUUGUUUCAGCAAACAUCUGGUGGUUAUGAUGAAAUUCUGAGGAAGAAAUGAUAGAAUUCAUACUUCCUGAAUUUUCUUUUCAUUCCUUUUUAACAUCCAGUUCUCCAUGGAAAGUCUUGUUUUACCAGAUAAAGAUUCUAUCAUUAUUCAAAUCACAGUUGUAGACUUGGUAUUAUAUGUUUACUAAUA